GAGAAAGGCUUUCUUUCCGUGAUACCAUAGCCUCACAGGACAGCCUGCGUUCCGUGAAGACACUUGGAUGCCUGGAACUGCUGCAGCCACCUUAUGACCAUGAGGAGCUGGGACUGGUGAGGAUAAUACCACCAGGAUCUUGUGUGGAUAAAAUGAGAUGAAAGAUUUGUAGAUGCUCAAGCAUCCAUGACAGUGCCUUAUUACUGCAGCAGCCUGAAAACUGACAGCUUUAAAGAUGAGGAAGUGUUGUGGGGAAGCCAUCAGUCUCACUGUAAACCACUGAUAGAUGACUCAACUGAAUACUCAAGGGGCUUUUCUACUGGGCCGCCCUCCCACUUGGCCACGCCCAGCCAGAGGCCUGAGAACUGCAGCGUGAAGGGGCCAGAACCGCGGAGGUAAAAGGCCAGGGGUGAAGCUGAGGCUCACGCACAUCCCCGCUCAUUAUGAACUGUUGUACGCUUUACAGGAGGGACCACAUUCUCGUAUCUGUGAACGCUCCCUUACUUGUUAAACUAAAGAAAUACAUCCUCCUCGUCAUUCUCCUCAAAGGAUCCUUUUAUACAACGGUACAUUUUUCUCGUUUGCAGAUUGUCAUGAGCUCAGGGUCUUUCAUGUGUUUGCUCUAAUGAGUCACAUUAUUAGAUGGCCAAAUUGUCAGACUUGUCGUGUGAACACCUUUAGGAUGGCCCUGGUAUUCUUGAAAGCAUUCUUCCUUUCUGGCAACUGUAAAGAUGAUCCAGAACUGUAAAGAUGAUCCAGAACUGAUUUCCUCCUGCCCCAACACAGGAAAUCCGUGGAGUCCUGAUUCCAUUAAUAGAGAA